UGGGUAACCUGCCUCAAAGAGGGGAAUAGCCUCCCGAAAGGGAGAUUAAUACCGCAUAAUAUGUUUUAGUCGCAUGACUUAAACAUCAAAGGAUUUUCUUUUAAGAAAUUCCACUUUGAGAUGGACCCCGCGGCGCAUUAGCUAGUUGGUGAGGUAACGGCUCACCAAGGCAACGAUGCGUAGCCGACCUGAGAGGGUGAUCGGCCAUAUUGGAACUGAGACACGGUCCAGACUCCGUAGGAGG
rnacentral:rRNA from 1 species